rnacentral:rRNA from 1 species
UGACGUCAAGUCAUCAUGGCCUUAUGUCCAGGGCGACACACGUGCUACAAUGGCCGGCGACAACGGGAAGCGAGUUCGCGAGGACGAGCGGAUCCCUUAAAGACCGGUCGCAGUUCGGAUUGAAGUCUGCAACUCGACUUCAUGAAGCUGGAAUCGCUAGUAAUCGUGGAUCAGCCAAGCCGCGGUGAAUACGUUCCCGGGCCUU